rnacentral:piRNA from 1 species
UUCUGUUCUCUAAAAAUCAAC